AGUAAGCACUCAGCAUUUCAGCUUCUUGCCAUCUCUCCUAAUCAAGAGGAAUUUUCCUCUUGGAAUAAGGCAGAGAUAAUCAGGCUUCGGGGGUCUUGUGAGAAUGAUGCCUUAGGACACAGCUGCCUCAUUCCCCAUGCCAGCACAUUCUGGAAAGGGAUGGAAGAUUCUUUGUGGGCCUUGAGGUGGACUGUGACCUUGGAGUCAUGCUGAGUCACCGGCUGUAACCACUGAGACACAGUGGUGAAGAUGAUCUGCAGACUAUAUAGUACAAGAGGCUCCAGGAGUCUAACAGAGCUUAAUGUAGAUCAAGCUCAGAACAAGGAGUCAGCUUUCUGUUGUUGGGGCAGUGCCCGCCUAGGACCCUGAGAACCUGGAGCUGUGAAUGAACCUGGGAUUGAGAAGAUGGACACCUGCUCAGGCCAUUGUCGUCAGGCUUUGCCUGUCUCACACUGCCCAUGCCAGAGACCAGACAAGGAACAGACAGCUAGGAGCAAACCUAACACCUCAGGGGCCACCUUUACCAUGAAGCUCUCCCUGCCCUGGUGGCUAAGAUUAGUCCUCAAGAGGAACCACGAUCCAGGGAGCUGAGGCAAGCAAGGGCCAGGCCAAGCCAACAAUCAAGGUGUGCUCCGCUACUGAGCUAGCUUCCGUGCCUGAGAGGAAGGUCAAGGAAGGCUGCUGCUUCUUUGGUGCCAAGGAGACAGGAUCUGCAUGUGAAAGGGGCACUCUGUGAGCUGCUCUGAGCCAUGGAUCCAACCCCAGAGCUGCUCCUGAGCUCGGCGGGCAGCAUCCUGAAGCAGAGAGAGAGAACUUAGGAUGAAAUUCCUGGGCAGAAGCCACCAAGCCUCCUCGGUCCUCCUGCCCCUCUGCACACUCUUGCAAACAGCAUGGCUUCUCUGCCAGGAACACAAAGAGAGCCAUCACUGGGAGGCAGGGACCAUCUGAAUACAGCACUCAAACUCACGGCAGUUACUCCUGGACCACUGCCCAGAGCAAUCUGUGAAGCCUCAAUACCCUAGAAAUGCUUGGAUGCUAGCACCCAUCCACUUCUCUUUAAAUAACCUGAGUGACACUUCCUGAGUGCUAAGGGCCGGACACCAAUUCAGCUGCUAAGAUAAACCCUGACUGAAGUUCA